rnacentral:rRNA from 1 species
CCGGUUAAUAAGUCUCUGGACGAAUCCUGCAGCUUAACUGUGGAAUGCUGGAGAUACUAUUAGACUGAGACCGGGAGAGGUUAGAGGUACUCCCAGGGUAGAGGUGAAAUUCUGUAAUCCUGGGAGGACCGCCUGUUGCGAAGGCGUCUAACUGGAACGGUUCUGACGGUGAGGGACGAAGUUAGGGGCGCGAACCGGAUUAGAUACCCGGGUAGUCCUAACUGUAAACGAUGCGGACUUGGUGUUGGGGUGGCUUUGAGCUGCUCCAGUGCCGAAGGGAAGCUGUUAAGUCCGCCGCCUGGGAAGUACGGUCGCAAGACUGAAACUUAAGGAAUUGGCGGGGGAGCACCACAACGCGUGGAGCCUGCCGGUUUAAUUGGAUUCAACGCCGGACAUCUCACCAGAGGCGACAGCUGUAUGAUAGCCAGGUUGAUGACUUUGCUUGGCUAGCUGAGAAGUGGUGCAUGG